rnacentral:rRNA from 1 species
UGGGGAAUAUUGGACAAUGGGGGCAACCCUGAUCCAGCAAUGCCGCGUGUGUGAAGAAGGUCUUCGGAUUGUAAAGCACUUUCGACGGGGACGAUGAUGACGGUACCCGUAGAAGAAGCCCCGGCUAACUUCGUGCCAGCAGCCGCGGUAAUACGAAGGGGGCUAGCGUUGCUCGGAAUGACUGGGCGUAAAGGGCGUGUAGGCGGUUUACACAGUCAGAUGUGAAAUCCCCGGGCUUAACCUGGGAGCUGCAUUUGAUACGUGUAGACUAGAGUGUGAGAGAGGGUUGUGGAAUUCCCAGUGUAGAGGUGAAAUUCGUAGAUAUUGGGAAGAGCACCGGUGGCGAAGGCGGCAACCUGGCUCAUGACUGACGCUGAGGCGCGAAAGCGUGGGGAGCAAACAGGAUUAGAUACCCUGGUAGUCCACGCUGUAAACGAUGUGUGCUAGAUGUUGGGUAACUUUGUUAUUCAGUGUCGCAGUUAACGCGUUAAGCACACCGCCUGGGGAUACGGCCGCAAGGUUGAA